rnacentral:tRNA from 1 species
UGGGGCGUGGCCAAGUGGUAAGGCAGCGGGUUUUGGCCCUGUUAUUCGUAGGUUCGACUCCUUCCGCCCCAG